rnacentral:lncRNA from 1 species
GGAUAUAAACAGGAAGUCCUGUCACCUGCUCCUCAUAUUCAGACAUCGUGUUUCCUUCAUUGUCCAUGAGCUCCUACCUGUUCGGCAUAUUGUACUCAAAUCAAAAACCUAAGGAACGCUUCGGCUUCCCCCAGAAGUGAGUUAAACCCGGCGGAGUGUCACAAGCCUGACUGAAAUCUCAUACAGGAAAGAGAACUCUGGCGUGACAGAAGAAUCGCUCUCUGCCAAAGAUGGAUGGCUCUUUAGUGUCGUUGCCCCCAGACCACUCCUCCACAACACUGGAGGAAGUGGUGGCAGCACAUCACCGGCAGUUGGGUCGCCUGACCAAUUCCCUGGCAGAAGUGGUGGCACAAAGGGACCAGAUCGCCGCACUCACCACCACAGUCCAGCAGCUUCUGGCCCAGGCCCCCGGCAGAGCGGCCCCACUUACUGCCCCACAACUUCAAGGAGGAGAUCCUCCAUUUCCAGAGCCGGAUCUCAAGUCUCCCUGAGCCGUACUCUGGUGACCCCGCGGGGUGUAAGAACUUUUUACUCGGGAGUGAGUUUUACUUGUCAACGGUCUCACAGACCAGCAGAGAUCAGUACCAUUCUGCAACGACUAUCAGGACCAGAACUGGACUGGGGUGGAGCACUCUGGAGACAGGGUUGCGAAGAGUCAAUAGUCUCAGACUCCAGUGUGACAGAAGAAUUGCCCUCCCAAGAUGGACUGCUCUUCCGUUCCAUUGGCAAUAGACCGCUCCUCCACACUAGAGGAAUUGGUGGCAGCGCACCACCGGCAGCUGAAUCACCUGACCAACUCCCUGGCCGAGGUUGCUGUGCAAAUGGACCAGAUCGCUGCACUCACCACCGCAGUCCUGCAGCUGCUGGUCCAGCCCCCCUCGGAGGAGCUCCACACCCAGCUCCAGCCCACACCUUCCAGGAGGAGCUGAUCUGGUUCCAGAGACCCCCCCU